rnacentral:rRNA from 1 species
GAUGAACGCUGGCGGCGUGCCUAAUACAUGCAAGUCGAGCGAACGGACGAGAAGCUUGCUUCUCUGAUGUUAGCGGCGGACGGGUGAGUAACACGUGGAUAACCUACCUAUAAGACUGGGAUAACUUCGGGAAACCGGAGCUAAUACCGGAUGAUAUUUUGAACCGCAUGGUUCAAAAGUGAAAGACGGUCUUGCUGUCACUUAUAGAUGGAUCCGCGCUGCAUUAGCUAGUUGGUAAGGUAACGGCUUACCAAGGCAACGAUGCAUAGCCGACCUGAGAGGUUGAUCGGCCACCCUGGAACGUAGACACGGUCCAGACUCCUGCGGGACGCAGCAGUAGGGAAUCUUCCGCAAUGGGCGAAAGCCUGACGGAGCAACGCCGAGUGAGUGAUGAAGGUCUUCGGAUCGUAAAACUCUGUUAUGAGGGAAGAACAUAUGUGUAAGUAACUGUGCACAGCUUGACGGUACCUAAUCAGAAAGCCACGGCUAACUACGUG